rnacentral:rRNA from 1 species
UAGCUAGUUGGUGAGGUAACGGCCCACCAAGGCGACGAUCGGUAGCCGGACUGAGAGGUUGAACGGCCACAUUGGGACUGAGACACGGCUCAGACUCCUACGGGAGGCAGCAGUGGGGAAUAUUGCACAAUGGGGGAAACCCUGAUGCAGCGACGCCGCGUGGAGGAAGAAGGUCUUCGGAUUGUAAACUCCUGUUGUUGAGGAAGAUAAUGACGGUACUCGACAAGGAAGUGACGGCUAACUACGUGCCAGCAGCCGCGGUAAAACGUAGGUCACAAGCGUUGUCCGGAAUUACUGGGUGUAAAGGGAGCGCAGGCGGGAAGACAAGUUGGAAGUGAAAUCCAUGGGCUCAACCCAUGAACUGCUUUCAAAACUGUUUUUCUUGAGUAGUGCGGAGGUAGGCGGAAUUCCCGGUGUAGCGGUGGAAUGCGUAGAUAUCGGGAGGAACACCAGUGGCGAAGGCGGCCUACUGGGCACCAACUGACGCUGAGGCUCGAAAGUGUGGGUAGCAAACAGGAUUAGAUACCCUGGUAGUCCACACUGUAAACGAUGAUUACUAGGUGUUGGAGGAUUGACCCCUUCAGUGCCGCAGUUAACACAAUAAGUAAUCCACCUGGGGAGUACGACCGCAAGGUUGAAACUCAAAGGAAUUGACGGGGGCACGCACAAGCAGUGGAGUAUGUGGUUUAAUUCGACGCAACGCGAAGAACCUUACCAAGUCUUGACACCCUGCGACGCACAUAGAAAUAUGUGUUUCCUUCGGGACGCAGAGACAGGUGGUGCAUGGUUGUCGUCAGCUCGUGUCGUGAGAUGUUGGGUUAAGUCCCGCAACGAGCGCAACCCUUAUGGUCAGUUACUACGCAAGAGGACUCUGGCCAGACUGCCGUUGACAAAACGGAGGAAGGUGGGGAUGACGUCAAAUCAUCAUGCCCUUUAUGACUUGGGCUACACACGUACUACAAUGGCGUUAAACAAAGAGAAGCAAGACCGCGAGGUGGAGCAAAACUCAGAAACAACGUCCCAGUUCGGACUGCAGGCUGCAACUCGCCUGCACGAAGUCGGAAUUGCUAGUAAUCGCAGAUCAGCAUGCUGCGGUGAAUACGUUCCCGGGCCUUGUACACACCGCCCGUCACACCAUGAGAGCCGGGGGGACCCGAAGUCGGUAGUCUAACCGCAAGGAGGACGCCGCCGGAGGUAAAACUGUGAUUGGGGUGAAGUCGGAACAAGGUAGCCGUAGGAGUACCUGCGGCUG